AUAAAAUUCGUAAACAAUUUUAUUAAAUAAUUUCGUCAUUAAUAAAUGUUUUAUCAAAAAAUAUCUUUAACGAUUUAAAAUUUCGACUUAGGAUAUGUUUAGGACGUCCUAACAUAAGAUUCGUCUGAGAUAGCUUCGAGACACAACUUAAGAGUGUCCUAAGUUGAUCUUAAGUCCAUCCUAAAAUUGGUCUAAGGUGUGUCUUAGGACGAAUCUUAUGAUACUUUCGAGAACACCACCCCA
rnacentral:lncRNA from 1 species